AACAGUACCGGGGGCGGGCCGAGCGACGCAGCCGGGACGGUAGCUGCGGUGCGGACCGGAGGAGCCAUCUUGUCUCGUCGCCGGGGAGUCAGGCCCCUAAAUCGAAGAAGCCCUGGCGCGCCCUCCCCCCCUCCCGGGUCUGGGCAGAGACAGAUAAUCUCACUUCCAGAGAAAUGACUUGGAGAAAAAAAAGUGUUGGUCUUUUUGCUCUUUUGUAAUUAAAUCCGGAUGUACCUCAAAAGACUUAAGACUGUGGUGAUAAGAUGCUUUCCUCAGCAGAAAGGAGGGAAAAAAAACAACUGGAACUCAAAGCUUGAAAUUCUGUGGCAAAACAUGAGAUGUCCAGGAUUGGAGGUUGAAAAGAUUUCACUACAG
rnacentral:lncRNA from 1 species